UUAAAGCAGCGCUAAAAAUAGGCAGCCAGUAUAGAGUUUCGUGGGCUGUAUUGUUUAGAGAUGACAAAUCUCGUCUACGUGAUAUUAUAACGUUGAUAGAAACACACUAUUAUAAAUAGAAGAGGAAGAAGCAUAUGAAAGAGCAACGAACGUUGCUAAAUCCUGUUUGAUUUUUACACAAGAACGGAUAUGUUGUAAUAUGGAGUUAUGGAUUUUUGCAAUGUUAUGUUUCAGUUCUGCAACAGUUUCAGUUCAACAAUCCAUUGUGAGUCAACUACAAUAUUCUUCUGGUGAUACCUUUAACGUAACUUGUGAUGCCUCAAAAUUUAUUGGGUUAAAAACUGCUAAUUAUUUUGUGUCAAUGUCUAUGUGGAGGCAAGUGUCAUCCCAAGCUGCUUUUAUUAAUAUGGCCUCUUAUGAGCCCCUAGCUCAGUCAAACACUACAAAUAACAUUCCACUUCAAUGGCAAAUUAAUUUCUCUGGUGGUGAAGGUUUUUCAAAUAGAAACACAAUGAAGAUUGUUGUAACUGUGGUCAACUAUCAAUGUACAGACGCAGGACUUUAUAAAUGUCAAGCUGUCUUGCCAUCUCCUGUUACUACUUAUGAAACAACGCCUGUUAAUUUAACUGCCAAGGUUGGUAUAACUCAAAACAAUAUUUCUAUGGCUCCACACAAUCAAGCAGAUGGAACAGAUGAAAAUUCUUCAGUCAAUAGUGUUGGAGAGGAGAUUUCUAUGACUUGCACGUUCACUGGUCCUGCAAAUUUGCAAGCAGUUUGGAAACGCAAUGACGAAGACUAUCCAUAUCCAAAUGAUAUCACUAAUUCUAACCCAUCAUCAUCUGUUGUUUCUGGCUGCAACAUUUAUACGUAUUCAUCCGAGUUGAAAUUUACACUUGAAGAAAGUGACAGUGGCAAUACAUACAUUUGUGUUGUUACGGAAGGAAAUAAUGAACGGAGCAGAAAAAUGUUUACUAUUGAUGUUUUAAGUACAGUCACCCUUGUUCUUCUGUUCAGUAUGUCAAAUGGCAAGACAAAAUACCAGAUACUGAAGUCCUUCGAAGAGCAUCCAUACAAUCCUGAUGCAGUCCCAGCUGCGAUAGGCAGGUCACGUCUACAUAAUGGAAGACCACCGCAUCCCUAAACGACUCUUGUAUGGCCAACUAAGCGAAGGAAAGCGCUCGAAAGGUGGUCAAAGAAAGCGCCUCAGGGACACUCUCAAAGCUUCUCUGAAGGCGUUCAGCAUAGACCAAGGCACCUGGGAGACAGAGGCACAUGACAGAGCAUCAUGGCGUCGCGCUGUGAAAACUGGCGCACAGGUUGAUGAGGAAAAAAGAACAACGCUGGCAGAAGAAAAAUAACAAAGAAAAAAAGAAAGGCCAAUGACACUAGCUUCAGCUGGAAUAACCUGCCCAGUGUGCGGCCGAACAUUCCGGGUUCACACAGGUCUCACCAGCCACAUAAGGAGGCAUAAAACCCCAGUGCAAAGCCCUCAGCCCCCUGGAUGACAAAGUGGUCCUCAUCGAACCACGAUGGACGAACUAUAUGUUCACGUGUCCACAAUUUUCACUUAAGUGUGUCACUAGUGUGUAUUAGACUCUCCUGCUGGUUUUUCUUCUCUUGUUCACGUUAAUAAAAAUGAAGUGUACCUUUUAAACAUUAGUGUUGUUAUUAGGGGUGCACCGGAUAGUCGCUCCGGCUUCUGCCGAAUAUUCGGCAUUUUUUCGCUAUUCGGCUCAUGUCGAAUAUCACUGCCAAAUAGUAAACCGGAUAAUAAAAACUACAGCGUAGUUCUUUUAUUUCUAUCAAUAUUUUUAGGCGCCUCCGUGAUAAGUCUUUUCCAGAUACACCAAACGGAGGUAACACUUAAAUAUGGAAACAACACAGGCGAAAAGCAAGCAAUAUAAAGGUAGUCGACGCUGAUAAAAGAUGUCCAACAAGAAGUUUUAUACUAAAUGAAGGAAAUCGUCGAAUGUCGCCAAACCAUGGAACUAUACUGAUGGAACACCAGCUUCGAGAUUUUAUGAUCAGAGUGCCGUCGCGCAUCUUUUUUCGCGCACCGUACCAUUUGAAAAAUCGAUGAUGAUGCCAAAGAAGAAAUUUACUCCGAGAGCCACUUUGAUCGACCUGCAUUGAGAGUAAAACUUCCUUACACUAUAUUUAAUUAGAUCUGUAAAAAUUGUAUCCAUUUUCUGACUAUCUGAUAAAAAAGAUAAAAUUUCCCUCAAUAAGAGAUCUUCACAAAAGUUAUUUUUUCAAGGCCACCUCGUUAAAAUAGAUGUUUCCAGUACUUCCUCAUUUGGGUAUUUUACACAAAAUCUGGAAAAAAUUUUAUUUACAUGCCAUAAUUAUCACUUGUCCCGCGUAAUCAAAUCCUUCACUUUUCCCGGUCAGCGGAUGUUCUUAACAAAAUUUCAAGAGAGAGUUCAUUCUUUUGCGUUGUCCAGUCAGUUUUUCUUUGGACAACUCCCCCUUUUUUGUGCUUCCUCAGCUGUAGAUCUAUAUCUUAAAGGAUGAUUUUUGACCGAUGCGACUCUCACAGCAUUAAGGAGUUCCUCCUUUUUACCAGCCAUAAUGAUGAGUUGCAAAACUAAAAAGUCCUUUUACUGAUUUUGCGUAUAGUAAAUAUUCAUAACUAUAACUUUUGUAUAAUAAUAAUAAUAAUUUUUUUUUCAUAGACAUGGUUUAAUAAAUAUAAAGAAUAAUUAACGAGCAACUACCAAUCUGGGUAUAUUAAUACUUAAAUCUGGGUAUUUUGAAUUUCGAAUUUGCAUUUUUCAAAAGUCUAUUUGACUCGUCAGAGACUGAUCAGAUGUGGUCUAAAUCUAUGCAUCGUUUAGUAAAGACAUAGUAAAAGGUGAGUAAAAAUGAUAUCUACUAUCUAGAUCCAGAAAUAUUUUGCUAAUUCUAGAAUUAGAAAUCUAGUCUAGAUCUAUAAUUAUUAUUUAUAUUUAUACUUAGUUAUAGUUUAUAGUCAGUAGGCCUAUAGAUAGUAUAAUUUAUUAUUAUUAUUUAUAAAAAAUUAUUAUUAUUGUUAGGCGAAAAAACCCGGAAGUGCGGAAGUAAAAAAAUGACCGAUAAAUGUGAGAUUGCGUUUUUUACUUUUUUUUGGCAUAGGCUGCACUUGGAAAUUUAUUACACUUUUGAAUGAAAUGCGAGAAGUUUUAAAAUUGUGUUAUCGAUUACUUUAGACAUUGGCCUAAUUAAUGCUUAAUUUCGAUUUUUUUUUAAAGUUAUUAAUCAUUUUUACAUUUAUAAUCAAAUAUACCCCUUUUUCGUUUUUAGCAAUACAGGGUCUAGGAAAAUGCCCCAUAAUUCAUAUUUUUUUGUUGCUAGAUAUCAUGCUUGGCUAUAAUUCUACCAAGUUUUAUCGCGAUCUAUCGAUCGCAUUACUCAAAAACUUGAAAAUACAGUUUAGCAUUGUGGGCUAUGGGAUUUAUAGUUUUUGGUGAGUUUUUUUAUGAGGAAAUUUUGUCCUCGAUGUAAAACCACUCCAGGCCACGUAAGGCUUAAUAUUCUGGAUAUAUUCAUAUAAUUUAGAAUUUAUUUAGCGAGCGCAUGAAUUUUAAAGCGCAUUUGGAAAAAAAAUUUAAGACGAUUUUAAUACCACUUUUUAAAUAUUUUGUUAUUUUCUGCCAUCACAACGCCGCCAUUUUGUCCACCCCCUUAUGACAUUUCUUGUAGCUCUAGACCCGAUAAUUUGUUUAUUUCAUCAAUAUUUACAUUCUAAACAAGUGAAGUUCAUAAAUAAAAAUGAAAUCUUAUUUGUGAGCUAGAAAUUUACUACUAAUACUAGAUCUACUAUUAAUUUUCAUUUUUUAUAAGUAGAUCUCUGUUGCAUUUUACGUCUCCAGAGACGAUCUUUUCCCUUUGCAACUUCUUGUGUGACUAAAGAGGCCAAUUCUUGAUACACAGCUGCGAUGGCAGGUUGGGCAUAUAUAAUCACCAGGCGCCGUUGCAUUUUAACCCUUCUUUCUGCUUCUGUUGUGUAUGACAUCUGCAAUCCGUGAGCCUUCCUUUAUGCUCUCUCUCCAUGUGAAUCUAUCCAGUGCCACCUCUUUCCAGCUGCCAGUGUCGAUUUUGAAGAGCUUCAUGUCGCGUUUGCAUACAUCCGUAUAACGUAAAAGUGGGCGACCAGCACCUCUCCUGCCUUCUAUUAGAUCGCCAUACAGGAUGUCCUGUGGAAGUCGACCUACUGGCAUUCUACGAACGUGGCCAAGCCAGCCAAGGCGUCUGCUGCUGAUAACAGAGCGGAUGUCUUGGCACCCUGCUCUUUGUAGCAUUUCCUCGAUGGUUAUCUUAUCUUGCCACCUUAUUUUAAAGAAGCCUCAGGCUAAACUGCAAGGGUCUCGGAGGAGGUUUAUUGGCCCGAAGAUGUGAGGCUGGCAUGGCUCUUUGGCGUGCGGACACGCCCUCUUGCCCAUAAACCAAACCCUUAGCUAUGGGUCAAUAGCCGCACUGCCUUGUAUGUGUGUCCCUGUGAGGUCUAAGGCUAAGGGAGUAAACCCUAACAGAAAAUCCGGCCCUGGAGCCCCGUAGGCGGGGGGGGGGACAGUAGUAAGACUACUGCUCUCUGGCAAACUCCUGCAGCCACCUGUCCCCAAAUUGUGAUGGCUCGCCAUCCCUUUGGACCCGGUCAGUAUGGAAGAGAGGCAUGUGCUGACGUGUGGGCAGCCCAGCACUCGCAAAUUUACCGCCCAGGCUUUCCCCCAGCAAUGGAGAGGUCACUCCAUCUCUGACAGUAAUGUCUUUGAAAAAAACACGGAGAGUGGUAGUUACCGGUGAUAAGUUCCUAGCUGAUUGGCGUAAGCUGGAACGCCAGGGACCACUCUUGACGGUAGGAAGGCUUUUUAGCCUCACUGGAUAGCUACUGCCUGCCUUAAGCCGAGCAGCCCUCGGACAAUAAAGUGCUAUCCCGCCACAGCUUGCCGCACCACUGGGUGCUAAGACAAAAUAAAAAAGCAAGCUGCUCACCCACACCUGCAAAUAAGUAGAUCUAUCGUCUUGGAAACUCAAUUCCAACUUUUUAACUUUUUGAGCGGGGUGUGUGUCUCGUCGGCUUAGCGGAAGUGCUUACUGGAAAUUCUAUUUGAUUGGAGUUAUGGCCUCUGGAGUAGAAUCAGCUUUUGCACUAAAUGGUGAGCUGAUAGUAUUGAAAACUUGUUCUUGACGUCUUUUAAUUUGAUUUUAUAAAUUGCACAAUUAAGGAAUCUAAAUAGUUCUUGUACUUUUAAUUAUUUCACUAGAAAUAGUUUCACCUUUCAAUGACAAAUCCUGUUUUCUUUUGCUUGAUUGUAGAAAUGGGAAAGCUUUGUUUGAAAAGAUUUAACAUGCAUUUACAUUUCUUAUGUAAAAGGCCCAUUGCGAUAGCAACUAUGAAACACAUGAAAUAUGUCCUUCAAGUAACAUAACAAUUUCUUCCUUGAGAUUUUAUAUUGUUCUCAUUUGCCUUGCCCAUGCUAAGAUAGCGAAUACAGUGGAUUAUUUUGUUCAUAAAUCGGAACUACCUGUGGUUAACACUUCCUAGCUCUGUGAAGUUCGAUUACAAAGUCUAUCUGAUCAAUAAUGUAUUGAAAUUUUAAGCAGCUUUGUGCAAACUUUCCUGUUUAGAGUUUAUGGUUGGGAUAUUUUUUUUAUAAAAAACAACAACAACAACGACUAUUUUAAUCAGUCAAAGAUCCAGCUCCAUCAGUUGUUAUAUACUGUGGGCACAACUGAUUUCUGUAGGAGUCGGCGGGUCACAUAAAACACUCCGGCGGGCCGCAUGUGUCCUGCGUGACGUAGUUUGCCCACCCCUGUUCUAGGAGAUAGUCACCGUGAGCUAGUGCCAUUAGUGGAACGUUAUCUUGUAACUUGUGUCAGUUGUAAGUCAGUGACUCAAUGCUAUAACUCAAUUAUCAUUUUUAAAUAAAAGUAGACAUUUAUAGAUCUAGAUCUUUUAUAUUCUAUGUUAAAGUACAUAGAUUAUAGAUCUGGUAGACUAUAUAUAUAGCUAGAUCUAUAACUUUUAAAACUUUGACAAUGCUUGAUUUGAUUUGGAUUAAAAAUCACAUCCUUGUGGUUAAAGUCACUAGAAUGUCUCAAAAGUCUGAAAUUGAUUAGAGAGGGACAACGAGGCAAGAAUCUAUUACUCUGUCUAUGAUCUAUCUGCUUACUAAGCUAGUCAAGUUUAAUCUCGACAACUAGUCCUCUAGUUUCUAGAUCUAGAUUAAGUUUAAAUUUAGACUCUAUAAUGUAAAACUAUUUACUGAUAAUAGCUAAAAUGCUAAUCAACUGAUCUAGAGAACUUAUUAUUAAGAUAUCAGUAUACAAUUCAGACUAGUUAUAGAGAUAUAAUCUAUAUAGGGCCUAUGCCGUAAAAGAUUUAAUUUAUUAUCUAUGCCAGGCUAUGGUCAUGCUUAGACCGUGUUUACUAGACAUACAGUUCUUUAAAAGCUGUUGGAAGUUGACAUGUUUUGUUUAUAUGAAUAUAGUGCUGUGCUGACCACAGAAAUAAAUGCUAUCUUAUUUUUUUAUUAUAUUUUGUGUUCUCUAACCAUUGGUAUUUUUUCAUGGCAACACUUCUGAUCUAGUAUGUGAUAAAUUGUUUUAAAAAAAAUGCUUGUCAUUUUCAGUUAUUAACAAGUAGAACCAUGACAACCAGUUCUGAUGACAUACCAGUUUGGCUCAAUAAGCAUACUUAUACUAUAUCCACUCUCUGGGCAGAUAUCGAGAAUAUUGGCAUCCAUUCUAUAUAUGGUAUAACUUGCUGUGACAAGAAAAGAUGAUAUUCUUGGACUCCUGCAUAGCAGCACAAGUGAAAUCCCAUAAUGUUGCAAAAUACGUUUGGAACAAUUUUAAUAAGUUGUAUUAUACUGAAAACUCUGUACAUAUUUAUGUAUAUCCUGUCAUUCAGCCAACAGGUUUGGAUUUAGUAUUUCUUUAAAACUAUUGUUUUGAGCCCCAUUUAAACAAGAGGGAAGUGCAGUGGUUGAGUGAUAAAUAGCUUGGCUUCUGAACCAAGAGGUCAUGGGUUUGAAGAUUGUGAUUUUCAAUUUUGGAAUCUUUAAGGCACCUCUGAGACCACCCAGCUCUAAUGGGAAAACAUUAGGUGGGAAAUAGUAAAGGUGUUUGGUCAUUGUGCUGGCCACAUGACACUCUUGCUAACCAUGUGCCACAGAAACAGAUGACCUUUAUAUAAUCUGCCCCAUAAAUCGCAAGGUCUAAAAGGGAAUUUUUUUUAUUUUUUU